AGGGUGUAUUCACUUCCUGUUUCUGCUGUAGCAAAAUAUCACACGUUUGAUAUUCUCUUACAGAUCUGGAGGUGCUAAAGUUCAGCAGUCUGAAAUGUAUUGGCAGGCAGGUUCUUUCUGCAGGCUCUGGGGAAGAACCUAUUUCCCUGCCUUCUUCACCUCCUAGAGGCCACCUGCAUUCCCAUGUGGCAGUGGGGAAUGAAAACAGGAAAGUGGCAGCUCUGACCGAAAGCAAUGUGAUUGAUAAAGAGGGUGGGCAGUGGGGGGACAUUUCCUCAAAAGAAAGGAUUGCUAUUCACCGAAGAGGGAGUGAAGUCCUGGGAAGGCAAGAUAACAGGUGUGCACUCAGCUGUGAUAGAGAGGCCGACCAGGCACGCUGUUUGCAGCAAAAUGGGCGUUAUGCUUUGCCCCUGGAGGCGUGGAAGUGGGGCAAGAGGGUAGAGAAAAAGUUGUUCCAGCCACUACGGAUGUGUAACAAGUUACUGCAAAUCUUGUUGACUUAAAAUAGCCACUUGGUUUGCUCAUGAUUUUGUGGGCCAGGAAUUUAGACAGGACUGAGCCUGGCAGGUCUCACUCAGUGUUUCCCUAGCAGCUGCUCAGAUGUCAUCUGAAGGCCCCACAGGGCUGGACGUCCAAGAUGGCUCACUCACAUGGCUGGCAUGGGUUGUGUCCAGGUAGCUCAGCUGGGGCUGCCAACCCAGGGCUCUGCAUGGCUUCUCCAGCAUGGCGGGGUCUCAGAGUAGCUGGACUUCUUAUGUGGUAGCUGGCUUCCCCCUCCCACUGAGUGGGAAUCUUAAGAGGACGAACUGGAAACUUCAUAAUUUUUUUUUUCUUUGAGAUGGAGUCUCACUCUGUUGCCCAGGCUGGAGUGCAGUGGCCUGAUCUCGGCUCACUGAAACCUCCACCCCUGGGUUCAAGCGAUUCCCCUGCCUCAGCCUCCCGAGUAGCUGGGAUUACAGGUGCCCGCCACAGCGCCCGGCUAAUUUUUGUAUUUUUAGUAGAGACAGUGUUUCACCAUCUUGGCUGUUACACGCCUCCGUAUAAGAGACCACCUGAGCAGGCUUAGUGGAGCAACAAGGCUGUUUAUUCACUUGGGUGCAAGUGGGCUGAGUCAGAGAAAGGAGUCAGCGAAGGGUGGUGGGAGUGGAACUGGUUCUAUAGGUUUGGGGUAGGUAGUGGAAAGUUACAGUUAGGGGCAGUUUUUUUGGGCAGGGGAAGAAUGUUACAAGGUGCAUAGUCACAAGGUGGGGGAAGUCAUAAGGCACGAUAUCACAAGGUGGAUGGAUUAGUUGGGGAAGGGCAGGAACAUAUCACAAGGUGGAUGGAUUAAUUAGGGUAGGGAAGGAACAUAUCACAAGGUGGAUGGAUUAGUUAGGGUAGGGCAGGAACAUGUCACAGUGGUGGAUGGAUUAGUUAGGGUAGGGCAGGAACAUGUCACAAGGUGGAUGGAUUAGUUGGGGAAGGGCAGGAACAAUCACAAGGUGGAUGGAUUAGUUGGGGAAGGGCAGGAACAUAUCACAAGGUGGAUGGAUUAGUUAGGGUAGGGAAGGAACAUAUCACAAGGUGGAUGGAUUAGUUGGGGAAGGGCAGGAACAUAUCACAGUGGUGGAUGGAUUAGUUGGGGAAGGGCAGGAACAUAUCACAAGGUGGAUGGAUUAGUUGGGGAAGGGCAGGAACAUAUCACAGUGGUGGAUGGAUUAGUUGGGGGAAGGGCAGGAACAUAUCACAAGGUGGAUGGAUUAGUUAGGGUAGGGCAGGAACAUAUCACAGUGGUGGAUGGAUUAGUUGGGGAAGGGCAGGAACAAUCACAAGGUGGAUGGAUUAGUUGGGGAAGGGCAGGAACAUAUCACAAGGUGGAUGGAUUAGUUGGGGAAGGGCAGGAACAUGUCACAAUGGUGGAUGGAUUAGUUGGGGAAGGGCAGGAACAUGUCACAAUGGUGGAUGGAUUAGUUGGGGAAGGGCAGGAACAUAUCACAAGGUGGAUGGAUUAGUUGGGGAAGGGCAGGAACAUAUCACAAGGUGGAUGGAUUAGUUGGGGAAGGGCAGGAACAUAUCACAAGGUGGACUGUUGCAAGGUCGGUUAAUCAUUAAGGCAGGAACUAGCUGUUCCGUCUUCUUUAGUGGUUCUCCUGUUGCUCCAGGCUUUGUGACUCCAGGAGGCCUGUAACGUGUGGGUCACAGGGGUCACAAUGGCUCGACCAUGGGGUAGCCCAUUCAGGGGACCUUCCACUGGCCAGGUUGGUCUUGAACUCGUGACCUCAUGAUCCACCCGCCUCGGCCUCCCAAAGUGCUGGAAUUACAGGCGUGAGCCACCGCGUCCCGCCCAAAGCUGCAUAAUUUUUUAUCCUCAAAAGUUAAGCAGCUUUCCUUCCCCUACAGUCAGUGUUAUAAGUGAGUCACUAACGUCAGCCCACUUUUGAGUAGAGGGGACAUAGAUUCCCACAGCUCAAUGGGAGGAGUGUCAAAAAAAUGUAUGAGCAUAUUUUAAAACCAUUGCAAAGUAUGUCAUGGGGAGAGUGUCCAGAGGAGAGAUGACUGAGUUGGGUUAAAUUGCCAGGCCAGGCACAGUGGCUCAUGUCUGUAAUCCCAGCAUUUCGGGAGGCCGAGGCGGUAAAAUCUCUUGAGGCCAGGAGUUUGAGACCAGCUUGGGAAACAUAGCGAGACCCCCAUCUCUACAAAAAAUUUAAAAAUUAGCCAGGUGUGGUGGUGCAUGCCUAUGGUCCCAGCUACUUGGGAGGCUUAGGUGAGAGGAUCGCUUGAGCCCAGGAGUUCGAGGCUGCGUUGGGCCACGACUGCACCACUGCACUCCAGCCUGAGUGACAGGGUGAGACCGUCUCAAAAAUAAAUGAAUAAAUAAAUAAAUUGCCAGGCCACAGAAAAUGCUUAAGUAUUACAACUGGUAAAUCAUAAGAGUUAUGGUUGAUGUGGCUCCCAGUCAGUUGAGUGGUAAUGGGGCUGGUGGACUCAUGUUUGGGAACGAAGAAGAGAGAAGGUUCAAGAGUGAGAACUGAAAUCACUGCUGUCUCUCCAUCCCUGUCCCAGGGGAAAAUCCAUUGCCCAGCCAUUACCAGCUCCUUGAGACUGCCUGCAUUUCUUGGCUCGAGACCCCUUCUUCGGAUCUCCCCAGUCUCUUGCCUCUGCCAGCACAUCCCCUGCCACUGACCCUGACUCUCCUGUAUCCCUCUCAGAAGGAUCUUGUGAUUACAUGGGGUCCAUGUCGAUAAUCCUGCAUGACUUCCCCACUUCAAAAUCCUUAGUCAUAUCUGCAAAAUCCCUUUCACCAUCUAAAAUAACAUACUCAUGGGUUCUGGGGUUUAGGGGCCCAAUGCUCCUAGUACCUUUCAUGGGAAUCUUUACCUCCAGAAAUGGGGAGAAGUGGGCAGGGACUCCCUUCAUACACAAGACACGGCUGCCUCCUGCCACAACCCCAAAUACUUAUACACUUGCCUUUUUACAUCUGAGCUGGAACGACCCCACCUCAAUGUCAUGGGGCCAGGGUGGGAGACAGAGGAGCUACAACAUCUGCUUGGCUAUUGUUAGGGACAAACAAAGCAGCCACGGUUGCUUAGUGAUGACUUCUGGUUCCACCUGAGUGCUUUGGCCACCCAUAUUGCUCUCAGAGCUCUUUAAAGAUGAGUUAUUGUGCCCGGAGUGGUGGCUGAUGCCUGUAAUCCCAGGACUUUGGGAGGCUGAAGUGGACAGAUCACCUGAUGUUAGGAGUUCAAGACCAGCCACCUAACCAACAUGGAGAAACCCCAUCUCUACUAAAAGUACGAAAUUAGCAGGGCAUGGUGGCGCAUGCCUGUAAUCCCAGCUACUCUGGAG
rnacentral:lncRNA from 1 species